rnacentral:rRNA from 1 species
AUGUCCAAUGGCCAUUGGAAUUUUAUCUAUCCUUCUAUUUUUCAAGAUAAUUCAGAUUUGUUGGCGAAAAAGCGAAGAAAUAGGUUCGUCAUUCCAUUACAAUAUCAUCAAGAACAAGAGAAAGAACUAAUAUCCUGUUUUGGGAUUUCGAUUGAAAUCCCCCUUAUGGGUGUUUUAUGUAGAAAUACUAUUUUUGCUUAUUUUGACGAUCCCCGAUACAGAAAAGAUAAAAAGGGUUCAGGAAUUGUUAAAUUUAGAUAUAGGACCCUAGAAGAAGAAUAUAGGACUCGAGCGGAAGACUCAGAAGAGGAAUAUGAGACCCUAGAAGACGAAUACAGGACCCAAGAGGACGAAUAUGAAUAUGAAACCCUAGAAGAAUCUAAAUAUGGAAUCCUAGAAGACGAAUACGAAUAUGAAACCCUAGAAGACGAAUAUGGGAACCCAGAGAACGAAUAUAGGACUUUAGAGAAAGACUCAGAAGAGGAAUAUGGGAGCCCAGAGAGCAAAUAUAGGACCCAAGAGGACGAAUAUGGAACUAUAGAGGAAGACUCAGAAGACGAAUAUGGCAACCCCGGGGAAAGCGCAGAGGAAAAAUAUGGUACUUUAGAGGAAGACUCAGAAGAAGAUUCAGAGGAUGAAUAUGAGAGCCCAGAGGAAGAUUCCAUCUUAAAAAAAGAGGGUUUGAUUGAGCAUCGAGGAACAAAAGAAUUUAGUCUAAAAUACCAAAAAGAAGUAGAUCGGGUUUUUUUCAUUCUUCAAGAACUUCAUAUCUUGCCGAGAUCUUCAUCCCUAAAGAUACUUGACAAUAGUAUUAUUGGAGUGGAUACACAACUCACAAAAAAUACAAGAAGUCGACUAGGCGGACUGGUCCGAGUGAAGAGAAAAAAAAGCCAUACGGAACUCAAAAUAUUUUCCGGAGAUAUUCAUUUUCCUGAAGAGGCGGAUAAGAUAUUAGGUGGCUGUUUGAUACCGCCAGAAAGACAAAAAAAAGAUUCUAAGGAAUCAAAAAAAAGGAAAAAUUGGGUCUAUGUUCAACGGAAAAAAAUUCUCAAGAGCAAGGAAAAGUAUUUUGUUUCCGUUCGCCCUACAGUGGCAUAUGAAAUGGACGAAGGAAGAAAUUUAGCAACACUUUUCCCGCAGGAUCUCUUGCAAGAAGAAAAUAACCUCCAAAUUCGACUUGUCAAUUUUAUUUCUCAUGAAAAUAGCAAGUUAACUCAAAGAAUUUAUCACACAAAUAGUCAAUUUGUUAGAACUUGCUUAGUAGUGAAUUGGGAACAAGAAGAAAAAGAAAAGGCUGGUGCUUCCCUUGUUGAGGUAAGAGCAAAUGAUCUUAUUCGCGAUUUCCUAAGAAUUGAGUUAGUCAAGUCCACUAUUUCGUAUACACGAAAAAGGUAUGAUAGGACAAGUGCAGGACCGAUUCCCCAUAAUAGGUUAGAUCGCGCCAAUAUCAAUUCUUUUUAUUCCAAGGCGAAGAUUGAAUCACUUAGCCAACAUCCAGAAGCUAUUGGCACUUUGUUGAAUCGAAAUAAAGAAUACCACUUUUUGAUGAUUUUGUCGGCAUCCAACUGUUCUCGAAUUGGUUUAUUCAAGAAUUCAAAACAUCCCAAUGCGAUAAAAGAAUGGAAUCCUAGAAUUCCUAUUCGAGAAAUUUUUGGGCCCUUAGGCGCUAUUGUAGCUAGUAUAUCGCAUUUUUCUUCAUCUUACUAUUUACUAACGCAUAAUAAAAUCCUGUUAAAAAAAUAUUUGUUCGUUGACAAUUUAAAACAAACCUUCCAAGUACUUCAAGAACUUAAAUACUCUUUAAUAGAUGAAAAUAAAAGGAUUUCUAAUUUCGAUAGUAACAUAAUGUUGGAUCCAUUCCUUUUGAAUUGUCACUUUGUCCAUCAUGAUUCUUGGGAAGAGACAUCGGCAAUAAUUCACCUUGGACAAUUUAUUUGUGAAAAUGUAUGUCUAUUUAAAUCGCACAUAAAAAAAUCCGGUCAAAUUUUCAUUGUAAAUAUGAAUUCCUUUGUUAUAAGAGCAGCUAAACCUUAUUUGGCCACUACAGGAGCAACUGUUAAUGGUCAUUAUGGAGAAAUCCUUUACAAGGGAGAUAGGUUAGUUACGUUUAUAUAUGAAAAAUCGAGAUCUAGUGACAUAACGCAAGGUCUUCCAAAAGUGGAACAAAUCUUUGAAGCGUGUUCAAUUGAUUCAUUAUCCCCGAAUCUCGAAAGGAGAAUUGAGGAUUGGAAUGAGCGUAUACCAAGAAUUCUUGGGGUCCCUUGGGGAUUCUUGAUUGGAGCUGAGCUAACCAUAGCCCAAAGUCGUAUCUCUUUGGUUAAUAAAAUCCAAAAGGUUUAUCGAUCCCAAGGGGUACAGAUCCAUAAUAGACAUAUAGAGAUUAUUAUACGCCAAGUAACAUCAAAAGUGCGGGUUUCCGAAGAUGGAAUGUCUAAUGUUUUUUCGCCUGGGGAAUUAAUCGGACUAUUGCGAGCGGAACGAGCAGGGCGAGCUUUGGAUGAAUCGAUCUAUUAUCGGGCAAUCUUAUUGGGAAUAACAAGGGCUUCCCUGAAUACCCAAAGUUUCAUAUCUGAAGCAAGUUUUCAAGAAACUGCUCGAGUUUUAGCAAAAGCUGCCCUAUGA